GACGAACGCUGGCGGCGUGCCUAAUACAUGCAAGUAGAACGCUGAAGGAGGAGCUUGCUCUUCUGGAUGAGUUGCGAACGGGUGAGUAACGCGUAGGUAACCUGCCUGGUAGCGGGGGAUAACUAUUGGAAACGAUAGCUAAUACCACAUAAUAGUAGAUGUUGCAUGAUAUUUACUUAAAAGGUGCAAUUGCACCACUACCAGAUGGACCUGCGUUGUAUUCGCUAGUUGGGGGGGUAACGGCUCACCAAGGCGGACAUACAUAGCCGAGCUGAGAGGGUGAUUCGGCACAAUUGGACUUGGAAACGGCUCCGACUCCUACGGGAAGCAGCAGUAGGGAAUCAUUGGCAAUGGAGGACAGUCUGACCGAGCAACGACCGGUGAGGUGAGGAGGUUUUCCGAUCGUAAAGGUCUGUUGUUAGGGAAGAACGAGUGUGAGGGUGGAAAGUUCACACUGUGACGGUAUCUUACCAGAAAGGGACGGCUAACUACGUG
rnacentral:rRNA from 1 species